rnacentral:rRNA from 1 species
AUUGAACGCUGGCGGCAGGCUUAACACAUGCAAGUCGAACGAGAUCUUCGGAUCUAGUGGCAGACGGGUGAGGAACACGUGGGAACAUCCCUUUCAGUUCGGAAUAACGUUGGGAAACUAACGCUAAUACCGGAUACGUCCUUCGGGAGAAAGAUUUAUCGCUGAAAGAUUGGCCCGCGUCUGAUUAGCUAGUUGGUGAGGUAACGGCUCACCAAGGCUACGAUCAGUAGCUGAUCUGAGAGGAUGAUCGGCCACAUUGGGACUGAGACACGGCCCAAACUCCUACGGGAGGCAGCAGUGGGGAAUAUUGGACAAUGGGCGCAAGCCUGAUCCAGCCAUGCCGCGUGAGUGAUGACGGCCUUCGGGUUGUAAAGCUCUUUUGUCCGGGAAGAUAAUGACUGUACCGGAGGAAUAAGCCCCGGCAAACUUCGUGCCAGCCGCCGCUGUAA